rnacentral:rRNA from 1 species
UACGUAGGGUGUAAGCGUUGCCCGGAUUUAUUGGGCGUAAAGGGCGCGUAGGCGGCUCGGCACGUCCGUUGUGAAAUCGCCCGGCUCAACUGGGCGGGGUCAGCGGAUACGGUCGAGCUUGAGCAAGCUAGGGGGCAAUGGAAUUCCCGGUGUAGUGGUGGAAUGCGUAGAUAUCGGGAGGAACACCAGUGGCGAAGGCGGCGACCUGGGCCAAUAUUGACGCUGAGGUGCGAAAGCGUGGGGAGCAAACAGG